rnacentral:lncRNA from 1 species
AUGGCAGAGCAAGGCUGGAUUCAGAAAACCGGAGGUAGAGGGGGAGGCGGGAAGGAAGCCAGCGUGUCUGCAAUAAUGGCAUCAUGGUUUCUAAGACAGAAGGGCGUCAGAGGGGCGGCUGUGCGACCUUCAGAGCCACUGAGGUUGUCUUCGUGCAGACGCGAAGAGAGGCCAUUGCUCAUCCGGCAGACUUGCAGACAUCAAGACAGUCAAGGCAGGAAGAAGGCGGAAACUCUUGCACGGCGUGGGGAGGGCGAUGCAGGUACUCUGCUGGUUUGUUGGCAAGUUCACGUGAGCUUUGUGGAAGCAAUGUGAGACUGUCUCGAGACCCUUUAAAGAGUUCAUUCUCUUUGUUUUUCUGAGGGGUUGACUCGUGUCCGUCAGAGACAUGCGUCCAGGCCCUGAGCCCUGGUCCCCACGACCGCGAGCUUCUCUAGGAACAAGCACUCUGCAGAUGUUAAGGUGGCGUAGGCCCGCCCUUGAUCCAAUACCGUUCGUGUCCUUGUAAGGAGAGGCGACACGCAGACAGACACGGGAAGGACACUCCGUAGUGACAGGCACGGGGUUAGGGUAAACUGAGAGACACCAGGGACUGCAGGGGACACCAGACGCUAACGGGCAGGAGACCGAUUUUCUCCUGGAGCCUUUGGAGGGAGCUGCUCCCUGUUGGCGCCUGGACUGCAGACUUCUGGCCUCUGCGGCCGUGAGACCACAAAGCCCUGUUGUUUUACGCCCUCCCGGUGUGGCCCUUUGUUACGACAGCCCCAGGAAACCAGCACAGCCUUUCUUUGGCUUUCAUUUCCAGGUCGGAAUCUGACAGCGCCUUACUUGGCAAGUUUCUUCCCAUGGCCUCCUGGCACAUGGACCACAUCUCCCAGUCUCCCUUGCGGUCGGCCAUGGCACGUGACUGAUUUUGGCCAGUGGGAUGCAGUCAGAAGGGACGCCCCCAGGCCUGGCCAGUAGCAACCUGGGCUCCCCUCUCGGUCAGUCCUCUGCCUGGGAGCAGACACCAAGCCUAGGACCCCGAGUCCUACCAGACAGACAGAGUCUGUGCCCCCGGGUCAUCCUAAACACCUGUACGGAGCUCCCUGUUGUGUGGGUGAGCACUGGCCUUCUGCUGAGACUGGAGGGGUCAGCAUUUAGCCCAGCUUGACUAGGAGAAGGAGGGAAUCAGAGAUGGAUGAAAGCCAAGAUUCAGAGGCCAGGAUGCUCCUACGCCCAAUUUUACUCGCUUCCGGCUUCAAAAUAAAGUCACUUUUCUUUUCCUAUUAGGUCUGCGUGGCCCCACGUCUUUGUCCUUGGACUCUUUGGGCAGCCACUCUUGUUGGGGUGGUGGUGGAGGUUUCUCAGCCACUCCCCAGGUCUGGCCUUCCCCACUGCUUCUUACUCUGUCCAAGGGGUCAUCCGGAGUGUAGGCAGACAGGGUAGGGGUUCUGGGAGGAAGAGAUCCAGGUGUGCCUUUCCUGAAAAGAAAAGCCUUUUAUUUUUUGCUUUUUAGGACCACAUGUGCAGCAUAUGGAAGUUCCCAGGCUAGGGAUUGAAUUGGAGACGUGGCUGCCGGCCUACACCACAGCCACAGCAACGUGGGAUCCGAGCCGCGUCUGCUACCUACACUGCAGCUCACAGCAACGCUGGAUCCUUAAGCCAAUGAGUGAGGCCAGCGGUUGAACCUGCUUCCUUAUGGACGCUAGUCGGGUUUAUUACUGCUGAGCCACAGCGGGAACUCCAAGGGAGCCCCUUUUAGGCCCAGGCCAUCUUGUGAUAUAAGCCUGGCCUCAGUGCUCUUGCUGACAGAGGAAGAGAUCGCAGCAGUUAAUGAUUCUGAGGGAAGGGAAAGGUAAGAACGAGCGACCAUUGCCAGGCCAGGGAAAUGCCCAUUCUGGAAACAAUCAAGCAAAUUUUGCUGCACGAGGAUCUCUUGGGGCCUUAAAGGCCUGCUGCCCAGGCUUCACCCUCGCCUGUAGCCCAGUUUGGGAACCUGCUGGUUGGAAUUCUGGUUCUGCCACUUGUUAGCUGUGUAGCCUUAGCAAGUUUGGUUUGUUUGUUUGUUUGUUUGUUUGUCUUUUUAGGGCUGCACCCUUGGGAUAUGGAGGUUCCCAGGCUAGGGGUCUAAUCCGAGCUACAGGGGCCGGCCUAUACCACAGCCACAGCAAUGCGGGUACCCGAGCCGCGUCUGCUACCUACACUGCAGCUCACGGCAACCCUAGAUCCUUAACCCACUGAGUGAGGCCAGGGAUCGAACCCACAACCUCAUGAUUCCUAGACGGAUUUGUUUCUGCUGCGCCACGACGGGAACUCCUCUUCUUUAUUUUCAAAUAAUGUUUCAGGGAGUUCCCAUCGUGGCUCAGCGGUAACCAACCCAACUAGUAUCCAUGAGGAUGUGGGUUCGAUCCCUAGCCUUGUGGGUUAUGGAUCCUGUGUUGCUGUGGCUGUGGUGUAGGCCAGCAGCUGUAGCUCUGAUUCGACCCUGGUGGGAACUUCCAUAUACGGAGGGGGCAGCCCUAAAAAAAAAGAAAAAAAAAAAGACCAAAGUAAUGUUUCAGGAUAAUGUAAUUUUUAAUGUAAAAAGCAAAUAGAAAUUUAUUUAUUUUAUUUUAUUUUAUUUUUUUUGUCUUUUUUGCCAUUUCUUGGGCCGCUCCUGCGGCAUAUGGAGGUUCCCAGGCUAGGGGUCUAAUCGGAGCUGUAGCUGCNUUUUUUUUUUUUUUUUUUUUUUUUUUUUUUUUUUUGUCUUUUUGGGGCCACACCCGUGGCAUAUGGAGAUUCCCAGGAUAGGAGUCAAAUUGGAGCUACAGCCACUGGCCUACACCACAGCCGCAGCAACGUGGGAUCCGAACCACGUCUGUGAUCUACACCACAGCUCAAGGCAACGCCGGAUUCUUAACCCACUGAGCAAGGCCAGGGAUCGAACCCGUGUCUUAGUGGAUGCUAGUUGGGUUCGUUAACCACUGCGCCACGACGGGAACUCCCGCAAAUAGAAAUUUAAAUAUAUAUAUGCCAGAAAGAAAAGGUAGAAAGGAGAUAGGUAUUACUCUGGGCUCUGGACUGAUGGGUAACUUUUAUUUUUUUCUUCAUUCAUUUUGACAUUUUCCCAAUUUUCUCCAGUGAGUAUUUAUUGCUU